rnacentral:misc_RNA from 1 species
AAACAUUUAAUAAUUGUUUAAAUUUGAGCUAAAAGGAAAAGCCACAUCAGGAAGCAAGGUCAAGGCACAGUCUCACGCACAGUUCCCUGUGUCUUCUCUCUCAUCCCUCCUCCAUGAGAAGCAGAAGCUAGGUCCUAGGGUUCCUCUCCCUCCAUCGUACAAAUCUUCCCCAAAUUUACUUUCUUCAAAUCUCACAUUACCCCAACCAAGCCUAUCACUUCCAUGGCCAAAACCAGACCAGGCCUCAUCUCCAAGCCCAAACACGGCAAAAGAGAGCUCGACUCCUCCACCAUUCGCGGCACCAACAAAGUCGUCAAAGUGGGGGAUUGCGUGUUGAUGAGACCAUCGGACACCGGAAAGCCGCCAUACGUGGCGAAAAUUGAGGGAAUCGAGGCGGAUAGCAGAAACAAUGUGAAGGUAAG